rnacentral:rRNA from 1 species
UGGGGAAUAUUGCACAAUGGGGGAAACCCUGAUGCAGCGACGCCGCGUGAGCGAAGAAGGCUUUCGAGUCGUAAAGCUCUGUCCUAUGGGAAGAUAAUGACGGUACCAUAGAAGAAAGCCCUGGCUAAAUACGUGCCAGCAGCCGCGGUAAUACGUAUGGGGCGAGCGUUGUCCGGAAUUAUUGGGCGUAAAGGGUACGUAGGCGGUUUUUUAAGUCAGGUGUCAAAGCGUGGAGCUUAACUCCAUUAAGCACUUGAAACUGAAAGACUUGAGUGAAGGAGAGGAAAGUGGAAUUCCUAGUGUAGCGAUGAAAUGCGUAGAUAUUAGGAGGAAUACCGGUGGCGAAGGCGACUUUCUGGACUUUUACUGACGCUCAGGUACGAAAGCGUGGGGAGCAAACAGG